rnacentral:rRNA from 1 species
UACGGGGGGAGCAAGCGUUGUUCGGAUUUACUGGGCGUAAAGGGCGCGUAGGCGGCUUGGCAAGUGGAUGGUGAAAUCCCUCGGCUUAACCGAGGAACUGCCAUCCAGACUGCUUUGCUUGAGGCCGGGAGAGGUGAGUGGAAUUCCCAGUGUAGCGGUGAAAUGCGUAGAUAUUGGGAGGAACACCAGUGGCGAAGGCGGCUCACUGGACCGGUUCUGACGCUGAGGCGCGAAAGCGUGGGGAGCAAACGGG